UUCAUCCCUUAUAAAUACCCCUAUAUCCUCACUGUAUCACCUCACACAUAACACCUUCGAUAAUCUACAGGACUGAUCGAAUUUUAAUUCUUCAUUCUAGCUUUUGUAUACUUUUUGUUUGAAUUGCAUAAUUUUGCUGAAGGACUCUGUUGAUCGAAAGUCAUUCAGAUAUAGGAGUAGGACAAUUUAUUGUCCAAAAGCAAGCAAGAGAGAAUUUGCAGAUAUUUGCUUGGAGAAAAAUUUGAAGGUGAAUAUCUUUUUUAUGAGACUAGAUGCACAUCUCUUUUCCUUCUUGUUCGGUAAAAUGUUACUCCACUCAUCACACUGUUCUUUUUUAUUUCUCUCUGUUUUAAAUGCCCUUCCAGCAAUUCUCCUAGUGUCACAAAGGUAACAAGAAACUCUCUAUGAGGGGGUACCUCCUCUUUUUUGAUUUUUCAAUUUGGAAGAGGAAAUAGCACAGGGAGCUUUUAUUUAUUAAAGAUGAGCCUUGCAUAUAAAUUGAUAUUGAUUCCCAUGUACAUCAAGAUCACUUUGUACAUCAAGAUCACUUUCAGAUCCAAUUCUUUUCAGAAACUUCACAUGAUGUUAGAACCAAUCUCGCAACUGAGACUAGAGUAUGAUAAUUUGUAAAUCAUUUACACGUGUUCUGAGUUCUAGUGGAAGUCAGGAACUUGAGGUCGUGUGCAUUUCUAAGCAAGAAAAGAAUCUGAUUGAUUGAGAUUAUUACUGCCGAUAAUUCAGUAACUGAGGAAACUCAGAUGACAUGUAAUAUACACAUUAGAAUUUUCAUAGCAUAACUUAAAUCUAGGAGAUGAAUCUGAUGAGAGUACAGAUCUGAAAUUUAUACAGUUGAAUACUUCAUUCAUUUUCUGAUAUGCGAUUCACUGAGGCAAAGUUAGUUUAUAUAUGUUUUGUUGCAGGAAGGCAAUCACAAGUUAAAGUCUGGUUCUCAGGGGUGUAACAAAGUUGAGUCGAUGCACUGUGCUGCUUGAACUUAAAACCUGAACAAAUAAUGUUUGAUUUCAUACGAGCUCUGCUCGACAGUUUAACUUGACUUGAGAUGGACUUGGUUAUUCAACUUAUCUUUAAUUUGGAUGAAUAUGAGCCAAGCUUGAGAUCGACCACUUCUGAAUUUAAAUUUGGUUGCUCUGAAUGGAAAGCCUUUUCAUGCCAAAUGAGUUGGUUAUAUGAAUCCUUUUAUGUUAUUUACUUCUUACUUAUAAAAGUCUAAUGCAUUAGUAUGCAUAAAUAAUGUAUAUUGAAC
rnacentral:lncRNA from 1 species